GCAGUUGUGGCCGAGUGGUUAAGGCGUUGAAUUCGAAAUCCAAUGGGGGAAGACCCCACAUAGGUUCGAAUCCUGUCAACUGCG